ensembl:lncRNA
AUGAACAGAUCCAUAAAUUUGACUGAUGAACCUCAAAGGAGUGUUACGGGCUUCACAACAGAGACUGAGAUAAGUGUUUGGACAUCAUCUCUGCUUUCCAAUCAAGAGAGCUUCUUGCCCUUACCCAUUUACACCUCAGCAACUGAAAUGUCAGCAAAUGUCUUUGAGAAGAUGGAGGACUUUAAUCACUAGAUCCAUCCAGAGUGAAGUAGUGAGUUUCUGUCUUCUCACAAUGUGAAAAAGAAAUUCCUUGCAGCACCACAUCCAGAGAAGUUCAACAGGGAAAGGUGUGACUGGGCAACUCUUUCAGACACAUGUAAGCUCCUUACUCAGUAAAUUCUUGUCCAUAACUGAUUCAAUGUCAGUACAAAUAAAUUAAUUCUAUUAGUAGUCUUUACUCUGGGAAAGCUUAGAUUCUUUUCUCUUCUGUUUUUCUUCUUUUCACCUUUUUUAUUCUUUCUUUUGUCCUUUUUCUAUAAUCCUGUUUACUAGAUUGUAAGAAAAACAAAGAAACAAAACAAAAAAAAAAAAAAAAAAAAGAAACGGCAACAGCAACAACAACAACAAAAAAAAACAUAGGAAAGAUGUAAAUGUGUGAUACCAAAGCAGCUGAAUUACUAUCAGGAGCAUGGGAGAGAGCUUUGAUCAUCCUGUCUCAGGAACGCAAGACUUCAAGAGAGGGUGCCAGCAAGGCUCUUGUUGGUGAUGUCCUUCAGGUUCACUCAGGCUGUGCAGUUUCUGUGGUUUCCAGGAGGUUCGGCAUCUCAAACUUACUUUAACUUGGCAGGCUGUGAAUCAAGAUAGCCAUCAGUCUUCCCCCAUAAUAAGUGAUAUUUAAAUAGUUCAAUUUUAGACAGGUCUGCCUCCAAACAUCAUAAAAUAUAAAGAAUGACUCCUCUAAAGAACAAUAUCUUUUAAAGUGAAUGGUACAUUAAACUGCAUUAAACCAUUUCCAAUCCCAGGCAUUUGAUUUUUAUCCAUUUGAAUUGUGGACAUGAGCAGUUUUAAGCUUGCUUUGGACAGAAGAACCUGACAGGAAUAUAAUCACAUCAAUUAUGCUUUCCUUCCAGAUUCUGAAGGUGCUUUCAUGAGCCUACUUAAUUAGUUACUGUACCCCUAGCAUGGAGAGGAUAAUUGCUAUCAUGAGUCACGAAUUAAGUGGGAUCUAGAAAUAUCCCAGAAAGCAUCAAGUUUUCUCAGAUUUUCAAUAUUUGAUGCUUUGUGACUGUUGUGGGGUUUUUAAGGAUUUGGAAUUUCCUCUAGGAGUGAAAUGAGGCAAAAUAUAUCACAGCUACUCACAACAAACUAAAGGCCUCACAGGCCCAGCACUAACUCCCCAGAGAUGCAUCUUAGCUUUCCUCUCUCUUCCUUCCAAACAUUUUCAAUUAUGUUAAUUUCUUUCUAUACCCUCUGCUCUGGAGCACAUUUUUAUGCUAUUGCACCAAGAAGUUCUUUCUCAUUUCACACGUACUCAAGAACAUUUAGUUCCUUUCCUUUGAAUGAAUGGUUGAAUCAAUGGAUAUUAUGAGUUGACAGAAGGCACCACUUCUGCUUGUCACUUCACAGCUCAGUCAUCCUUGGACCACCAUCCAUCUCUCCAAUGGAAGGAAGUCUUAUUAAACAAGAGUAUUAUUUGAUCAUCCAUGUAAAACAUUUUUUUUUAUGCAGAACAUAUGCAACAAGGGUGAAUUUAUAAAAAAUAUACCAUGAUUAGCUUUUAAUUUUUCAGGGC